rnacentral:rRNA from 1 species
UACGAACGCUGGCGGCGUGCCUAAUACAUGCAAGUGGAACGCACUUGUCUCACCGGAGCUUGCUCCACCGAGAGAAGUGAGUCGCGAACGGGUGAGUAACGCGUAGGUAACCUGCCUCAUAGCGGGGGAUAACUAUUGGAAACGAUAGCUAAUACCGCAUAAUAGUAUUUACCGCAUGGUAGAUAUUUGAAAGAAGCAAUUGCUUCACUAUGAGAUGGACCUGCGUUGUAUUAGCUAGUUGGUGGGGUAAUGGCCCACCAAGGCCUCGAUACAUAGCCGACCUGAGAGGGUGAUCGGCCACACUGGGACUGAGACACGGCCCAG